UACGGGGGGGGCGAAGCGUUGUUCGGAAUUACUGGGCGUAAAGGGUUCGUAGGUGGCUAGCUAAGUCAGACGUGAAAUCCCUCAGCUUAACUGGGGAACUGCGUCUGAUACUGGCAAGCUUGAGUGCAGGAGAGGAACGCGGAAUUCCAGGUGUAGCGGUGAAAUGCGUAGAUAUCUGGAGGAACACCGGUGGCGAAGGCGGCGUUCUGGACUGCAACUGACACUGAGGAACGAAAGCCAGGGGAGCAAACGGG
rnacentral:rRNA from 1 species